CCUACGGGAGGCAGCAGUGAGGAAUAUUGGUCAAUGGACGAGAGUCUGAACCAGCCAAAUAGCGUGAAGGAUGACUGCCCUAUGGGUUGUAAACUUCUUUUAUAUGGGAAUAAAACGUUCCACGUGUGGGAUUUUGUAUGUACCAUAUGAAUAAGGAUCGGCUAACUCCGUGCCAGCAGCCGCGGUAAUACGGAGGAUCCGAGCGUUAUCCGGAUUUAUUGGGUUUAAAGGGAGCGUAGAUGGAUUGUUAAGUCAGUUGUGAAAGUUUGCGGCUCAACCGUAAAAUUGCAGUUGAAACUGGCAGUCUUGAGUACAGUAGAGGUGGGCGGAAUUCGUGGUAUAGCGGUGAAAUGCUUAGAUAUCACGAAGAACUCCGAUUGCGAAGGCAGUUCACUGGACUGCAACUGACACUGAGGCUCGAAAGUGUGGGUAUCAAACAGGAUUAGAUACCCUUGUAGUC
rnacentral:rRNA from 1 species